GUGACUCGGGAAGUUUUCUAGGCAAUGGAUCCAGCAGUUGCGGGUCAUUCGACUGUCCUGGCCCCUACUUUGGUGCUGGUGCCCACAGCAAGGGGUUCUUGGUCUGCCACCUUGAGGACAUCCAUUCCCACUAAACGCCGGCUCCAGGCUACUCCCAAACUGGCUUCUAAGGAGUCCAUUGCUGUUGGCGAAUCUGCCGAGAGUGGUUCGAAGGAGGGCACUGGAGUUUCCCUUUUGGCCACCCCACCUAUCCGAGCUGUGGGGGCCAUUGUGAUUGGAGGAGUGGCCAACAAAUGAGACCGAACCUCAGAGCUUGCUACUGACGGU
rnacentral:lncRNA from 1 species